UUUUUUUUUUUUUUCCUCGUUAAGUGAGCGUGACUAAAGAAGACAGUUCUUGCCGAAAGUUCCCACCAAAUCAUUUAGUUAGAAUAAAGAAGACUUUGUGAAACCCCUAACAUCUGUAUCCACAUCCCACAUGCUGACUGCCUUUAGGAAGAGGCUUGAAGGAUUGCAGCCUGAAGCAGUUGGCCUCUCCCACCUCUCUUUCCAGGAAGCUGGAGGUCAAAUUGGAGGUUCUGAGUUCCAGGCAGCUGAACACCAGGGUUGGGGUUUGUCCCAUGGCUUGUGCAGCGCCAUCCAAAGGGCGGCAGGAGGGGCAGUGGCCACAGGGCCAGCAGCUCAUGGAGAGCAGCUGCAGCCCCAGGGAACUGGGCUGAGCCAGGCUUGCUCCACAACUGUGAUACCAUGGAGUCCAGCUCCGUGCUGCCUUUCUACCUUUGAAGUCUGCAAUAGUUUGUGGUUGGUUUUUUUGGUUGGUUUUUUUUUUGGGUGGUUUUUUUUUUUUUUCGGACUUCUCAAAUGGCAUUGAAUUGUCAAGCAAUCAGAAGUAGAGCCUGGAAGACCUGAAAAAUAUUAAGAAAUUUUUUGAACAGCAAGAGUGAUUUUUACAGGUAUGCAUAUCUCCUGUUUCUGUUGGUGUCCUAUAAAUAAGAAAAAGAGAUUUUAAAAAAUAACCUUGAAGUUAAUUUUUAAUACAGGAACCAUAAUUAAUUAAAACUAGAGAAAUUAAUUUUGGACUAAAUGCAUACCUCAGGUGGUCUAAGACAAGGAUGUAUUUAAAAUGACAAGCAAACAAAAUCCAUUACAUAGACAGAAUAAAAUUGAAACAAGUCAUUAUUUGAAAUACA
rnacentral:lncRNA from 1 species